rnacentral:rRNA from 1 species
UACGGAGGGGACUAGCGUUGUUCGGAAUUACUGGGCGUAAAGCGCACGUAGGCGGACAUUUAAGUCAGGGGUGAAAUCCUGGAGCUCAACUCCAGAACUGCCUUUGAUACUGAGAAGCUUGAGUUCGGGAGAGGAUGGUGGAAUUCCCAGUGUAGAGGUGAAAUUCGUAGAUAUUGGGAAGAACACCGAUGGCGAAGGCAGCCAUCUGGACCGACACUGACGCGUGAGGCGCGAAAGCGUGGGGAGCAAACAGG